rnacentral:lncRNA from 1 species
AUAUAUAUAAGUUUGCAAUUGAUGGAGUUUUAACGUAUGUACACUCUUAAGGCUGCGUUUGGUUCGGGUAUAAGUAAGAACUGCUAGUUUCAGGGAUAAAUACAAGUUCAGGUAUAAGCAGGAACUAGACCAAUUUUGCGUUUGGAUGAAAAUUGAGUUGUUCCUAGAAAUAAGGUAAAUAGUGUUUGGAUGGUUAGAUUGGAACUAGAGGAAUAAGAGUUAUAAUUUGAAAUUAAAAUUAUAUUAUGUAAUUAGUUAACAUCAAAAUAUUACAUAAAAAUAAAUAAGAAAUUAAUUAUUAAUAAUUAAUUAUAAAUAAUAAUUAUUAUUAAUAAUUAUUAAUAAUUAAUUACAAAUAAUAAAUUAAUAAUAUUGAAUAUCUAAUUAAUAAUAAUAAUUAUUAUUAAUAAAUAAUAGUAAUUAUUAAUUAUUCUUAUUAAUUAAUUAUAAAUAAUAAAUCAAUAAUAAUAUUUAUUCUCUAAUUAUUAAUAAUAAUUAAUAUUAAUAUUUAUUAAUAAAUAAUAAUAAUUAAUAUUAAUAUUUAUUAAUAAAUAAUAAUAAUUAUUAAUAAUUAUUUAUAAAUAAUAAAUUAAUAAUAAUAUUGAUUAUUUAAUUAUUAAGAAUAAUUAUUAUUAAUAAUUAUUAAUAAAUUAUUAUAAUUAUUAUUAAUUAUUAAUAAUUAAUUAAUAAUAAUAAAUUAAUAAUAAUAUCGAUUAUCUAAUUAUUAAGAAUAAUAAUUAUUAAUUAAUGAUGAUUAAUAAAUAAUAAUAAUAAUAAUAAUAAUUAAUUAAUUAAUUAUUAAUUAUAAAUAAUAAAUUAAUAAUAAUAUCGAUUAUCAUUAAGAAUAAUAAUUAUUAAUAAUUAUUAAUAAAUAAUCAUGAAUAUUAUUAAUUAUUAAUAAUUAAUUAUAAAUAAUAAAUAAAUAAAUUAUUUAAUUAUUAAAGCAAUAAAUAAUGAUUUAAAUAUAUUAAUUAGAUUAAUUAAUAAUUUGCUGUCAUUAAAAUUAAAUUUUGAUUUUAAUUAACCUUGUUCUCAUCAAGAAACAAGCUUGUUCCAGGAAACAGGUGGAACAGCAGUUCCAGCCUUAUACUAGCUUGUUCCAGAUUCCUGGGAACUACUGUUCCUGUCACGCCCCGGAUUACUCGUUCCCUGGGCACGCCGACAAAUCCGCCGUACACAAAGAAAUUUUUCCUGUAUAUGAGGCGAUAGCUGUAACUGUAAAAUAUACAAUACUACAACCAGUAGUAUAGAGUUGCUAGAAAAUAAACAGGUACAAACAAACGAGUUCCAUAU